GCUGCAACUCGCCUGCNCGAAGUUGGAAUUGCUGUAAUCGUGGAUCAGCAUGCCACGGUGAAUACGUUCCCGGGUCUUGUACACACCGCCCGUCACACCAUGGGAGCCGGUAAUACCCGAAGUCAGUAGUCUAACCGCAAGGAGGACGCUGCCGAAGGUAGGAUUGGCGACUGGGGUGAAGUCGUAACAAGGUAGC
rnacentral:rRNA from 1 species